UACCGACAAGUUCAAUAACGUUCUGUCACUUAACCUAUAAGAUUGUUAACUUGAAUGGCUCGGAAUAAAUAUUGUUUCGAGGCCUGAUUUUCAUCAACGAAAAUGAAUAACAUCGAAAUUGAAGAUUUUUAUCAUCACGACUUCACGACUGCUACAGAAUGGGAGGUCUUUAUUGCACGUUUAGAAGAAAUUAUGCAUGAGUGGAAAAUAUCUGAUAAAAGAAAUGGUCCAUCUUUGAAAUCCGGCGAUUUUGUUAAUUCUCAAUGGAAAAACAAUACGGAGAAAGUUCAUUUUGCAGAUGUUGAAUUUACAUUUAAGCACUUUAGACUUGUAAUAGAGAAUGUUGAAACUAUGAAAAGUUCAUUGGAAGAUGAGGACGACGAAAAAACUGAAUGUCAAAAGGAUAUAUUCAAUUCUUUUAAUGAUUUUGCUCGUGUAGAUCAAGAACAUUUAGAAAUAGCACCUUAUUUUGGAAUCAGAGAGUUUCUUGUUUUAGUGCCAGGAAAAAGAAAUCCUAUAAUAGAGGAGACACGUAUGAAGAUUUUAUUAAGUUCUAUUACAAUUGCUGCUAAUAAUACAAAUUGCGAAGUACCUAUCUUUGUACAGGUACAAGAAUCAUGGCAAAAACUGUAUCUUGGUACAAGCGUAGGUAGAGGCAGCUCCGUUAAUUUCGAGAUGGUACAUCUGAAAAAAAUACCACCUCAUUGUAAAUAUCUUACUGGUUUGCUUGCUGUAUUCAAACAAAAAAUCACAGAAAGCUAUGGAGUGAAGUUAAAUCCAGUAUUAGUUUCAGUGAGAUUUUCGUAUUUAUUAAGGGAUUGGACAUGCAGUACUUGGACACAGCAACCUCCAGAUUUUGAUUUUAUGCAAGGAGAGACACUUGGAGUAGCAGAAUUAGGAAAGCUUCCAUUUGGAGCAACUUUUGAUCCUGUUGGGGAACUUCAUCUAUAUACCACAUGGCCGCAAAUGUCAGAGCACGUCGUAGUAGACAGUGAAGGAUUCACUGAUUUAGAACCACAGUUAGCACCAGAGUGGUCAGUUCAAGUGACAAUGGUACCUUCUCCGGCUUGUUUACUUGGAGAUUAUUUAACAGAUUUUCUACAUUUAUGUAACGAUCAGAGAGCUAUGGUUGACUUGUUAGGUGAGAAUGCCAUGUUUCUCGCCGAUGAUGAGAACAAUUUGAGUGCUGCAUUUAAUAUAUUAAGUGAAUCAAGAAUUCCUACAAUUUCUUCUGUCAUUGGUAAAGGAAACACGAAAAAACCAAAGAACGUGGAAGGUCCAAUUACUGAAGAAAUAUUGAUGCCUAUAUUGUAUUUUCUUUUCCCCGAUACUGAAGAUAAUCCUAAAACACCGUACGGUGAUAUGAGCAUAUAUUACGAGGAGGAACAGUGGAAAGGAGUAAAGACAUGUAUAAUUGACAGUUUAGUAUGGCGUCUUGCAGUUGUAGCCUCACAUUGCACACAUAAUCUAGGUGGAGCCACAGCAUUAGCUCAACUUUGGCACGAGUUCGUUCAGGAAAUUAGAUUUCGUAGAGAAUCGGAUAUUCUUAUACCAGGUAUCGCUCCUGGUUUCCCAGACUCCGUUAGAACCUGUUUGUUACAUCAAAAAUUACAGAUGAUGAAUUGUUGUAUUGAAAGAAAAAAAUCUAGAGAAGAUUCGAUAAAUAAAUCUCAGAGUGUAGAAUACGAAGACUUUGAAACAGAAUCAGAAGAAGAGGAAUUUUUUGAAUGUACAAGUGAAGUAGAAUCAGAAAAUGUAGGAACAAAUGCCCAAAUAAAAGCAAAACAUUUGCUAUGGAACAAACCAGCUGGAAGAUUAACAAAACAUCCUUCUUUAAGAUUAUUACAAACAGGAGAUCCCCUUUAUUUACCUGUAACGCAAGAACCUGUUCCAAAAACGGAAGACCAAUUGGAAGAAGACGCUCAAGUAAUGAUGCAGCUGGGAACCGACAAAUAUGCGUCGGAAAUGCGAGCUCGUAUGAUGAGCGCCUCGUUGCUUUCCGACAUGGAAUCUUUUAAGGCAGCAAAUCCAGGUGCAAUAUUAGAAGACUUCAUUAGAUGGUAUUCUCCCCGAGAUUGGAUAGAAGAUAAAGGAACCAAUGAAUGGGGUCAACCAAAUGGUCAUCUCUCACCAAGAAUGUUAAUUCCUGAGAAUGCAUGGUCAACAACUUGGGCAUCGGCUCAACCAGUACCAGCCCAUCGUCAAAAACGAUUAUUCGAUGACACGAGAGAAGCUGAAAAAGUUCUUCACUUUCUAAGCUCAAGAAAACUUGGUCAGGUCGCACGACUUCUUUUACCGUCCUUAACGCAUGCUGCGCUUUACACUUUAAAUUUACAAAAGCAAGAGGCUUUACCAAAUUUGCCAGAUGUUGCACAAAGUAUAUUAAAUAAAUUGCAAUACGUUACGAAACCACUACAUCAGAAAUUACAGCUCUACGAAGAAAUAACACGUGAUAUAGAAGGUGUAGAAGCUUUAGUUGCACAGGUCAACUCAUUGCAAUUGAAAUUAGGUGGAAGUGACGAUUCUAAAGAAUUUACAACAUUUUUGAUAGAAUUAAUGAGAGGAAAAGAAGUAUUUGUGCCAGAUGGACCAAGAGGAAACAUUGGCGCUCGUAUAAUGUCAAUGUUUCGAGAUGCUCAGAAAGCCGUACAUAUGAUGACCUCUGUAGGUACGAGUCAUGAAGUAGAUACAAGUGGAGAUAGUAAAUACAAAUCAUUCCCAGAACCAUCCUGGAAGGAAUUUAUAUUACGGGCAAUAACGACAAGACCUUCAGUGGCUUUAACAUCACAGCCACAAAGGAUGUAUGCGUGCCUUAAUCGAGAUUCCAUUCGUCUGGCUGGUUCAUUCUCUGAAGAUACUGUAUUUCUAUAGUCCAUAAUUGAGAUACAUUCUUUUAUAUAUAGUUUUAGGAAAGAUGAAGUUGUGAUAUAUGAUGUACUAUAGCUAUGUGAUGUACAAUAGCUAAUUGAGCAUGUAGACGUAGUACUGGAUCUUUAUCGGUAUCUCUUAAAUGUUUUAAACUACGAUAUAAAAUAACCAAAUCUUUGCUAAGAUCGGUUAAAACAUGCUUUCCUAAUCCACGAACUAAAAGAUUGAUGA